GCGUGCCAAAUAGUAAUAACAAUACGCUUUAAGAGAUGGGAGACAGUGACGAUGAGUAUGAUCGCAGAAGGAGGGACAAAUUCAGACGGGAAAGAAGUGACUACGAUCGUUCCAGAGAGAGGGAAGACAGACAUAGAGAUGAGUGGAAUGACAGAGAGUGGGACAGGGGCAGGGAACGGAGAAGCCGCGGAGAUUAUCGGGAUUACGACAGAGGUCGCAGGGAGAGAUUCACCCCUCCCAGACACGACAUGAGUCCCCAGCAGAAACGCAUGAGAAGAGACUGGGAUGACCACGGUGGAGAUCCCUACCGUGGCGGCUACGACAUGGGCUACGGAGGAGGGGGGCCCAGUUAUGGUCCACCACAGCAGUGGGCACACCCAGACAUGCACCUCAUGCAGCCUCAUCACGGUAUUCCAAUUCAAGCUAGACUCGGGAAUGUCCAUGAGAUGGAUUUUGGUCCACCCCCACCAAUCAUGAAGAGUUUUAAGGAGUUCCUGGUUUCACUGGAUGAUUCUGUAGACGAGACCGAAGCGGUCAAGCGCUACAACGAGUACAAGCUUGAAUACCGCCGGCAACAGAUGCAGGAGUUCUUUUUGGCUCAUAAAGAUGAAGAGUGGUUCAGAUCCAAGUACCACCCAGACGAGGCCAGUCGACUUAGGUCGGAGGCAUUGAGAGCCCUGAACAGCCGCCUGAAUGUCUUCAUGUUUCUGAUGGAGAACGGUUGGUUUGAUAACCUCUCGUUGGACAUCGAACAGACGCCAGCGAUCAUCAAGGUCCUGGAUGCGGCUGUGAUAAAGAUGGAAGGAGGGACAGACCACGAUCUCCGCAUCUUGGAAUUGCCUGCUGAGGAGGAGGAAGAAAGGGAGAAAUCGGCAUCUGGUGGAACCGAGCCUCCCAAGGGCAACCAUCACAGGAACAUUGACGGUGACGGCAAACCGUCAGUGGCAAAAGACAAAAAGAAUGAGAAAGAUGAGAGCAACUCGGUCUCCACUGAGAAGAUGGCUACAGCGGCUGAGGAUGUCAAAGAGGAGGGACAGAAAGAAGCCAUCAAAGAAGAAAUACCUGAACCCAAGAAGCCGAGGAGAAAACGCAAGCGCAGUGGAGACACCGACGACGAAGCCAGCGCUUCUGAAAGCGACUCUGACUCUGAAUCUGAUUCAAACUCGGUUUGCUCUGAAAAGAAAGAGAUGGAAGACAAGGAGGAGGAAGGCGGAGGUGCAAAAUCCCAUCAGGCGCAACCGAAACAGAAUGCUGUAGAGGAGAAGAAAGUGGAGAAAAAAGUUAAAGAUGACACUCCUAGACCACGACCUCUCCACAAGACUUGCUCGCUCUUCAUGAGGAGCAUCGCCCCCACCAUUUCCAAGGCAGAGAUAGUAGCUCUGUGUCGCCGCUACCCUGGCUUCCUGCGCGUCUGCCUGGCUGACCCUCAUCCAGAACGACGGUUUUACAGACGCUGCUGGGUGACUUUUGACCGCAGUGUCAAUAUUAAAGAGGUCUGCUGGAAUCUUCAGAACAUCCGUCCACGCGACUGUGAGUUGGCCCCUAGCGUGAACAGGGACCUUGCACGGAGGGUGCGCAACGUGAACGGCAUCACUCAGCACAAGCAAGUGGUUCGCAACGACAUCAAAAUGGCCGCCAAACUCAUUCACUCCCUGGACGAGAAAGGCGAACUGUGGUGCAAUCCGCCACAAGAAGAAAGCCAAAGCACAGAAAAGACUCAAAAUCCCAUCUUGAAGCACAUCACCGAUUACCUAAUAGAGGAGGUGAGCGCUGAAGAGGAGGAGCUGCUGGGCUCCUCUGGCGGGAUGGAGCAAGACGAGAAUGUCAAGGAGGGCCACUCGACAGAGAUGACUGUGGAGAAGGAUGAGAAACUUGCCAAGGUUCUGGAUCGUUUGAUUUUGUAUCUGCGCAUUGUGCAUUCCAUUGAUUACUACAAUGCCUGUGAAUACCCGAGUGAGGACGAGAUGCCGAACCGCUGCGGCAUGAUCCACGUUCGCGGGCCGGUCCCUCCCAACCGCAUAUCGCAUGGAGAAGUGCAACAAUGGCAAAAGGUGUUGGAGGAGAAGCUGAGCACUUUGUAUAGCAUAAAAGAAACCCUGUCUGAGGAAGAGGCGCUAAAGAUGGGCCGCAAAGACCCCGUUGAGGAGAUGGAGAAGUUUAUUUCUGCCAACACGCAGGAGCUUGGAAAGGACAAGUGGCUCUGCCCGCUUAGCGGCAAGAAGUUUAAGGGUCCAGAGUUUGUGAGAAAACAUAUACUGAACAAACAUGGGGACAAAAUUGAAGAGGUGAAAAAAGAGGUAGCAUUUUUCAACAAUUUCCUGAUGGAUGCCAAGAGGCCGUCUUUGCCGGAGAUGAAACUUCCUCCUCUUCCAGCUCCGGGCCAAGGAUUGCUUUCUCCAUUGCCGUUUUCUCCUCAAGGUCCCCAGGGACCAAUGGGCUUUGCGCAGCCUCGCCCCCCACUCAUGGGUUACGGUGGCGCACCCCCUUACCCCCCCAACCAUUUUGGAGGUGGGCGGGGUAACUACGACAACUUCCGUGGACAAGGCGGGUAUCUCGGGAAACCACGCAACAGAAUGUCACGGGGCGAUCCACGAAACAUCAUUGAAUACCGGGACCUGGAUGCACCAGAUGAUAUGGACUUCUUUUAGAAGGACUCAAGCUGGGCUCAACAAAGAUCAACACUGAAUCAUUAGAUCUUUGAGCCAUCCAUGUACAGUUUAUGAUAAUGAUCGACCUCCUCCUCGGUUGGCUUGAUGCGCUGGGGCACAUGGAUGGGACUUCCCACUGCAAACGACGGUCCUGUGACCUUCGACCCAAUGAGCCCUCUGGGAAGGUAACCUGCUGGUAGAGCUCUGUUUCCCCGAAGGAGUAAACAGGCACCAAGUCAGCCCUGAGGAAUGUGAGCGUAUGUUAUUGACAUACAAAAAAACCCCGAUACUUACAGAACUGUUUGCACUCCAGGAUGGGAGGCCAGGGACUCAGCAGCGCCCCCUAUCACAAUCACCACAGCAUUUCCUGUGCCACUCUUGGACAGAAGGUAGCCAAGGCUUGGCUUGCUGACUGGACACAGGCCUGUUCAAACAAAUCAAUCACGAGCCAUAUGAAGUACAGAGUGGGAAAGAGCCACAAUGAUGUAAACAUCAGAGCCACCAACAAGAUGAUGGAAGAAACCCCUGAAGACAGGAUGUGAACUCAAGUUAACCAGUAAUGCAAGCAUGCAUCAACA